CACGUAGGGAGCAAGCGUUGUCCGGAUUUAUUGGGCGUAAAGAGCUCGUAGGCUGUUCGAUAAGUCGGGUGUGAAACCUCCAGGCUCAACCUGGAGACGCCACCCGAUACUGUCAUGACUAGAGUCCGGUAGGGGGAGCGUGGAAUUCCUGGUGUAGCGGUGAAAUGCGCAGAUAUCAGGAGGAACACCAGCGGCGAAGGCGGCGCUCUGGGCCGGUACUGACGCUGAGGAGCGAAAGCGUGGGGAGCGAACAGG
rnacentral:rRNA from 1 species